UGCAGUCGAGCGCCCCGCAGGGGAGCGGCAGACGGGUGAGUAACAGCGUGGGAAUCUACCUUUUGCUACGGAAUAACUCAGGGAAACUUGUGCUAAUACCGUAUGUGCCCUUCGGGGGAAAGAUUUAUCGGCAAAGGAUGAGCCCGCGUUGGAUUAGCUAGUUGGUGGGGUAAAGGCCCACCAAGGCGACGAUCCAUAGCUGGUCUGAGAGGAUGAUCAGCCACACUGGGACUGAGACACGGCCCAGACUCCUACGGGAGGCAGCAGUGGGGAAUAUUGGACAAUGGGCGCAAGCCUGAUCCAGCCAUGCCGCGUGAGUGAUGAAGGCCCUAGGGUUGUAAAGCUCUUUCACCGGUGAAGAUAAUGACGGUAACCGGAGAAGAAGCCCCGGCUAACUUCGUGCCAGCAGCCGCGGUAAUACGAAGGGGGCUAGCGUUGUUCGGAUUUACUGGGCGUAAAGCGCACGUAGGCGGACUUUUAAGUCAGGGGUGAAAUCCCAGAGCUCAACUCUGGAACUGCCUUUGAUACUGGAAGUCUUGAGUAUGGUAGAGGUGAGUGGAAUUCCGAGUGUAGAGGUGAAAUUCGUAGAUAUUCGGAGGAACACCAGUGGCGAAGGCGGCUCACUGGACCAUUACUGACGCU
rnacentral:rRNA from 1 species